GAUGAACGCUGGCGGCGUGCCUAAUACAUGCAAGUAGAACGCUGAAGGAAGGAGCUUGCUCUUUCCGGAUGAGUUGCGAACGGGUGAGUAACGCGUAGGUAACCUGCCUGGUAGCGGGGGAUAACUAUUGGAAACGAUAGCUAAUACCGCAUAACAGUAGAUGUUGCAUGAUAUCUACUUAAAAGGUGCAAUUGCACCACUACCAGAUGGACCUGCGUUGUAUUAGCUAGUUGGUGAGGUAACGGCUCACCAAGGCGACGAUACAUAGCCGACCUGAGAGGGUGAUCGGCCCCACUGGGACUGGGACACGGCCCAGACUCCUACGGGAGGCAGCAGUAGGGAAUCUUCGGCAAUGGACGGAAGUCUGACCGGGCAACGCCGCGUGAGUGGAGAAGGUUUUCGGAUCGUAAAGCUCUGUUGUAAGAGAAGAACGAGUGUGAGAGUGGAAAGUUCACACUGUGACGGUAUCUUACCAGAAAGGGACGGCUAACUACGUG
rnacentral:rRNA from 1 species